UACGGAGGGUGCGAGCGUUGCCCGGAAUUACUGGGCGUAAAGAGUGUGUAGGCGGUGCUCUAAGUUCGGUGUGAAAUCUCCUGGCUUAACUGGGAGGGUGCGCCGGAAACUGGGGUGCUCGAGCGUGGGAGAGGAAAGCGGAAUUCCUGGUGUAGCGGUGAAAUGCGUAGAUAUCAGGAGGAACACCUGUGGUGUAGACAGCUUUCUGGACCAUUGCUGACGCUGAGACACGAAAGCGUGGGUAGCAAACAGG
rnacentral:rRNA from 1 species